rnacentral:rRNA from 1 species
GACGAACGCUGGCGGCGUGCUUAACACAUGCAAGUCGAACGGAAAGGCCUCUUUCGGGGGGUACUCGAGUGGCGAACGGGUGAGUAACACGUGAGUAACCUGCCCUUGACUUUGGGAUAACUUCAGGAAACUGGGGCUAAUACCGGAUAGGAGCUCCUGCUGCAUGGUGGGGGUUGGAAAGUUUCGGCGGUUGGGGAUGGACUCGCGGCUUAUCAGCUUGUUGGUGGGGUAGUGGCUUACCGAGGCUUUGACGGGUAGCCGGCCUGAGAGGGUGACCGGCCACAUUGGGACUGAGAUACGGCACAGACACCGACGGGAGGCAGCAGUGGGGAAUAUUGCACAAUGGGUGGAAGCCUGAUGCAGCAACGCCGUGUGCGGGAUGACGGCCUUCGGGUUGUAAACCGAUUUCGCUCAUGACGAAGCUUUGUGUGACGGUAGUGGGUAAAGAAGCACCGGCUAACUACGUG